UGUGUAGGCGGAAUAGUAAGUCAGAUGUGAAAGCCUUGAGCUUAACUCAAGAAGUGCAUUUGAUACUGCUAAUCUAGAGUUCGGGAGAGGGAAGUAGAAUUCCUGGUGUAGAGGUGAAAUCCGUAGAUAUCAGGAGGAAUACCAGAGGCGAAGGCGACUUCCUGGACCGACACUGACGCUGAGACACGAAAGCGUGGGGAGCAAACAGGAUUAGAUACCCUGGUAGUCC
rnacentral:rRNA from 1 species